UAUUACUCCACAUCUCCUGCCUUUGCCCACCUGCAUUGUAUCUGUGCCUGAGCCCCGGCUGGUGGCCUGCAAGGAUCCCCUAUCUCCUCUGCCCCUGCACGGCUGGGUCCCAGGCAAUCUGUCCGCCCACCACGCCUCUCUCACCUUGCCCACCACGCUCCAGCCCCACAGUCCUCUUUCUGCUUCUUUCCCAGCCUCUGGGCUUUUACACACGCUGUUCUCUCUGCAUGAACACGCUCCAAUGGGCUGAGAACAACUCUCUGAGACCUCUCUCAGCUGUUGCUUCCUUUGGAACAGCCGCUGCUGCUGUCCCUCUCCCAGCUCCAAGACCUGCUGAGCCUCCUGUCUUUUUCAGUUCCCAUGCCCCCAGCACUUCUCCUUGGCCUCCUUUGGCCCAAUUGACAAUGUCCAUUCUCAACGCCUUCUCACCCAGCGCUGAGCCCCACUGGGUGAAGGCAAUGCCUGUCAUAUUCACCACAAUAUCCCCUCCCCUAUCACCAUGACUGGUCCACAGUGAUGCUCAAAAAACAUCUGUUGUUAGGCAAUGGGAAGGUGCAUUCAUGUCAUCCUGCAGGCGGAAUUCUCCACGAGUUUUGAGCAGCCUCGGUUUUCCCACCACCUCCAAAUCAUGCAAGACACAGGGUAAGAGCAAAGACAAGGUGGCUGUGGCCGAUGUCCACCCUCGCGGGGCGUCCCUUCUCUUCUCUCCUCCUUGGGCAGGGAGACCAUCGGGGUGCAACCAGGCUGGGGAGGGGAGGAGAUGCAGGGCCUGGCCAGCGCGGGCCUGGCCACGGGCAAGGGACAGCGACCUCCUGGGCCAAGACAGGUGAGCGCAGCGCAGGCCCGGGCCCAGCGUGUCCGCCGUGCGCAGGAGCGGCCAGCAGAGGGCACCAGAGAGCCAGGAGCCGCCCGCGGAGGAGCCGGCGCCGGCCCCAAUGCCCAGCUCCGCGCCGCGCGGACCCACCGAGCCUGCGCUCAGACGCCCCAACUCCGCCGAGAGGCCGCUCGCGCCGGGUCCUUCCUCUUCCCCAAGUGCAGGCAGAGCCACUGGAGCCAUGGCCAGCCCUUCUGGCAGCUCCGAAGCCACUGGCAAGCCCUGAGGCAGGGAUCGCCGGCCCAGGAGGGAGGAGGACGACGUCCCUCCCGAAGAGAAGAGGCUGCGGCUGUUGCUGGAGGGGGAAGCGCACAGCCCGAGGACUGCGAGGACGGGGAGGACGCGCCGCGGCCGGGCAGGGAGGAGACCGGCACCCAGACAGGUGGCGAUGGCAGAGGAGUGCAGGCAGAGCCCCCGGAUCCAUGGCCAGCCCUUCCGGCAGAUCUGAAGCCACUGGCAAGCCCCGAGGCAGGGAUGGCCGGCCCAGGAGGGAGGAGGACGACGUCCCUCCCGAAGAGAAGAGGCUGCGGCUGUUGCUGGAGGGGGAAGCGCACAGCCCGAGGACUGCGAGGACGGGGAGGACGCGCCGCGGCCAGGCAGAAAGGAGACCGGGACCCAGACAGGUGGCGACGGCAGAGAAGGAAAAUACAUGUACAGCCAACUUCCUAGAGGGUUCGUUCUUUUGCAUCAGGGUGUCUCAAACUGCUGCCCUUAAAACACCUGUAAGAGAAUCAUCCAGGCGGCUUGCUCGCUCGCAUGCAGGCCCUUUAGAAUCAGAGUCAGAAUCCCUGGGGCUGGAGCCACAAAACGAAAUGACAUUUCAACGAGUUUGUCAUCAUAUGAGAGAGAAUAGGUGA
ensembl:lincRNA